rnacentral:rRNA from 1 species
UGGGGAAUAUUGGACAAUGGGCGAAAGCCUGAUCCAGCCAUGCCGCGUGUGUGAAGACGGUCUUCGGAUUGUAAAGCACUUUAAGUUGGGAGGAAGGGCAUUAACCUAAUACGUUAGUGUUUUGACGUUACCGACAGAAUAAGCACCGGCUAACUCUGUGCCAGCAGCCGCGGUAAUAAAGAGGGUGCAAGCGUUAAUCGGAAUUACUGGGCGUAAAGCGCGCGUAGGUGGUUUGUUAAGUUGGAUGUGAAAUCCCCGGGCUCAACCUGGGAACUGCAUUCAAAACUGACUGACUAGAGUAUGGUAGAGGGUGGUGGAAUUUCCUGUGUAGCGGUGAAAUGCGUAGAUAUAGGAAGGAACACCAGUGGCGAAGGCGACCACCUGGACUAAUACUGACACUGAGGUGCGAAAGCGUGGGGAGCAAACA